rnacentral:rRNA from 1 species
UGUUUUCUUCCUUUGUUAGCGGCGGAUGGGUGAGUAACACGUGGGCAACCUGCCCUGUASYUGGGGAUAACUCCGGGAAACCGGGGCUAAUACCGAAUAAUUAGUUCCUUCGCAUGAAGGAACUCUGAAAGACGGCUAUGCUGUCACUACRGGAUGGGCCCGCGGCGCAUUAGCUAGUUGGUGAGGUAACGGCUUACCAAGGCGACGAUGCGUAGCCGACCUGAGAGGGUGAUCGGCCACACUGGGACUGAGACACGGCCCAGACUCCUACGGGAGGCAGCAGUAGGGAAUCUUCCACAAUGGACGAAAGUCUGAUGGAGCAACGCCGCGUGAGCGAAGAAGGUUUUCGGAUCGUAAAGCUCUGUUGUGAGGGAAGAACAAGUAYAGGAGUAACUGCCUGUACCUUGACGGUACCUCAUUARAAAGCCACGGCUAACUACGUGCCAGCAGCCGCGGUAAUAA